AUUUUAGUGUCGUAAUGUUUAGUAUGGAAAUAUUUUAGUGACGUUCGAGUGAGUUUCAAUAGUUGACUAAAGAUGUCAUUGGCUCUUCGACUAUCACAGCAUCUCUAGUCUCUACCGAGCGCGUGCGUAACGCGUCCGUCAUGGGUCCAGCUUCAGUCUUCGGAUAUUAUUCGUUACUAGUUUACUACUAACCAAUAGAAGGUAAUAGUAAUGCCAAGGGAUUUGUUUUUGUUUUUGUAAAAUAGGUCAAUACAGCCAAAUAAAGAAUUUACUAUAUACUUUGAAUUUUCCGAAACCAAUUUCUUAAUGUAAUAAACACUUAGAGCAUCAUUAUCCAAGACUCUUAAUAGAGUCUCUUAGUUUAAUUAGGAAUAAAAAAAAUAGCAACUAACACAAGAGACGACUCUUAAUUAGGGUACAGAAGAGACGGUUCUUGUAACUCUCUCUUCUCCUUCGCUGUAGCUUCUUCAACCACUCUCAUCUCCUUUGCUUUCCAUCUCCCUCCCUCUCUCACGAAGAUUGAUCCUAGUUUCGGAGGGGAUAGAUGGAAUUCGUUGUCGGAGAGUGUUUCGGGUCGUCUUCUGCUCCGAUGGAGCUGAUUUGGGUUGGGAUUGAUCGGGUUUUGUUGUUGGAGAAGGUCGCUUAAGAGCAGCCAUGGAGGAUCAAAUUGCCAGUUCCAAGUCCAUUCAGACAAGCGAGGAUGUAGAACCGCAGAGGAUAACCGUAUCGUUAGGUUGAGAACAAAGAUGCAACUUGAGCAGAAUAGAGAAGAGAUGGAUGCACAAGAUAGAUUUUUCUCAGAGUCAAUCAAGCAGAUACAUGACAAUAGAGAUGCAAAGGAGGAGGAUUUCGAGAUGUUGCAGCAGCAGGAGCAUGCCAAAGUUGUCGAGCAGCAGCAGAAGAAGAACACUAAUCUCUCUAAGCUGAGGAGGUUUCAGGUUUCAUAGAGUUACAAGAGAAAGAUAUGGAGGAGUUUGAUAGCUGCCCUGGAGCAUAAUUAUAAUCCGAGAACAUGCUCAAUCAAAUUCCCAUAAAGAGCCAAAAGGUUGUGUAACAUCUCUUAUUGAACAAGGAUGCGCAAGUCGAUCUGUUGUACAUGUCAGAUACAAGACUCCAAUGAAGAUGAACACUUGAAGUCUUCUCAGCAGCAAUCCGAUGGUAUUUUGUUGUUAUAUACAAUGCCACCAAUCAAAUGAGUUGACAUUUGGUCGAAUGCUUUGCACAUUUUUGUAAGUACAUUUGGUCGAAUGCUUUGAAUUUUUUUUUUAAGAAUCCCUAAAUAAGAGACUUCUAUUGGAGCACAAAAA